rnacentral:rRNA from 1 species
UACGAAGGGUGCAAGCGUUACUCGGAAUUACUGGGCGUAAAGGGUGCGUAGGUGGUCGUUUUAAGUCCGUUGUGAAAUCCCUGGGCUCAACCUGGGAAUGGCAGUGGAUACUGGACGGCUAGAAUGCGGUAGAGGGUAGUGGAAUUCCCGGUGUAGCAGUGAAAUGCGUAGAGAUCGGGAGGAACACCAGUGGCGAAGGCGACUACCUGGACCAGCACUGACACUGAGGCACGAAAAGCGUGGGGGAGCAAACAGG